ensembl:snRNA U6 U6 spliceosomal RNA
GUGCUCAGUUCAACAGUACAGAUGCUAAAAAUCUGAGAGAUACAGAAAAGACUAGCAUGGCCCUUAUACAAGGAUGGUAUACAAAUUCAUGAAGCAUUCUAUAUAUUU